rnacentral:rRNA from 1 species
AGAUGCGAUCAUACUAGCACUAAAGCACCGGAUCCCAUCAGAACUCCGAAGUUAAGCGUGCUUGGGCGAGAGUAGUACUAGGAUGGGUGACCUCCUGGGAAGUCCUCGUGUUGCAUUCC